CACCUUGACGGUACCUAACCAGAAAGCCACGGCUAACUACGUGCCAGCAGCCGCGGUAAUACGUAGGUGGCAAGCGUUGUCCGGAAUUAUUGGGCGUAAAGGGCUCGCAGGCGGUUUCUUAAGUCUGAUGUGAAAGCCCCCGGCUCAACCGGGGAGGGUCAUUGGAAACUGGGAAACUUGAGUGCAGAAGAGGAGAGUGGAAUUCCACGUGUAGCGGUGAAAUGCGUAGAGAUGUGGAGGAACACCAGUGGCGAAGGCGACUCUCUGGUCUGUAACUGACGCUGAGGAGCGAAAGCGUGGGGAGCGAACAGGAUUAGAUACCCUGGUAGUCCACGCCGUAAACGAUGAGUGCUAAGUGUUAGGGGGUUUCCGCCCCUUAGUGCUGCAGCUAACGCAUUAAGCACUCCGCCUGGGGAGUACGGUCGCAAGACUGAAACUCAAAGGAAUUGACGGGGGCCCGCACNAGCGGUGGAGCAUGUGGUUUAAUUCGAAGCAACGCGAAGAACCUUACCAGGUCUUGACAUCCUCUGACAACCCUAGAGAUAGGGCUUUCCCUUCGGGGACAGAGUGACAGGU
rnacentral:rRNA from 1 species